GACAAACUGAAAUGGCUAAGUCUUUAAGACACUACAAUACUUCUUGUUUUUUCUCAUUACAGAGCAACAAUGUGUGUUAAUUCAAACAACCAGAAGAGGGCACUGCCCACCGAUUUUCAACACUCACUUUUUUUUUGGUGGGGGGGGAAUGGAUGGACACAAAGAGUUCUGAUCACUUACAGAUCUGUUCUUUACAACAGGAUAAUAUUGUUUCUGUCACCAAAGCUACAAUCAACAUGCUAAAUUCAGAAAGCGACACAAGAGAAGGCAAAUCCUAUGAAAACACAAACCUGGAAGCAUAAAUAACCAAAAAGCAAAGUUACUAUAUAUUACUACUAACUAGCUAUUAGAAACAAUGCAUCGUAAUAUGCAAAUUUAAUUCAAAACUUGGGGUGGGGAUGGAAUCUGGCCUGUUAAAAGGUAAAGGUACCCCUGUCCGUACGGGCCAGUCAUGUCCGACUCUAGGGUUGUGCGCCCAUCUCACUUAAGAGGCCGUGAGCCGGUGCCGUCCGAGGACACUUCCGGGUCACGUAGCCAGCGUGACGAAGCUGCAGCUGGCGAGCCAGCACCAGCGCAGCACACGGAAACGCCGUUUACCUUCCCGCUAUAAAGCGGUCCCUAUUUAUCUACUUGCACUUAGGGGUGCUUUCGAACUGCUAGGUGGGCAGGAGCUGGGACCAAACGACAGGAGCUCACCCCGCCGCGGGGAUUCGAACCGCCGACCAUACGAUCGGCAAGUGCUAGGCACUGAGGUUUUACCCACAGUGCCACCUGCGUCCCUUUUAUCUGGCCUGUUAGGCCUUGUCAAACUCCCAAGUCCCAUUGUCCCAGCCUUCAGGGCCAAUGGUCAGGGAUGAGGAAGUCCUCAACAUCAUCUGGAGGGCCACGGAUUAGCCACACCUGAGCUAUACCACCCUCUAAUAUCACAUAUAACUUAUAAUAGGUUCUUUUUUUCACCUUGAUGAGAAGUUGCACUUGCCAACAUUCCCUGUUCUACUUGAUUAUUAAACAUAUAGCAGCCAUGUUUCCCUUUUUUCUCUUAGUCACAGUUACAACUUUCUGGAAAGUAAAUGUAAGAUAAUAGGCUUGUUUGGUGGUGGGAAAUGUCCUUUUGAAGCAGCUUACUAAUUUUAGAUAUCAAACCUGCAUAUACGCGCUCUCUCUCUCUCUCUCUCUCUCUCUCUCUCACACACACACACACACACACAUAAAAUUCUCAGUUACUGUCACUGAAAUACCUUUUAUUACUAGCAAGUAGCAACUAGUUAUAGAUGAUGUUGAUGAGAAAAAUGUUCAGCCUUAGAUCAGCACUGACAAUAAAGUGAUCUUGUAUGACACUUUUGCAGAUUGUGAACUAAGGCAGAGACAGCAAAUUCAUUUUAUUAACCAUACGUUCAACCAAUUUAUUUACACCCUCCUUUCCUCUCCAAAAAGAAGCCCAAAGCAGCUGAUAACAUCAUACAAGAAAAAAAUACAACAAUUUAAAAAGAAAAACAAUAUGAAUUAUCUGACAGCAAAAAUAUUAUAACAAACCUAUAAGUAAACCAUUGGUUUGAUACUUUAAACACCAGUUCACUUAGCAAUACAAAAAUGCAUAAAUAUAUCAAUAAACAAGGGGAGACUAAGUGUCCUGAACCCCUGACCUACCUGGCAGCAUGUCAGUAUGUCAAGUCCAAAGGCCAGAAAACACAGUCCAGGGUCAAUCCAAGUAGCCAAGUCAGAAUACAGUCCAGAGUCAAACCCAAAACACAGUCCCAUAGAGGCCCAGGAGUAUCCAAGCCAAGGCCCACCAACAUGGGCAGUUGAGCAGACAUAGCACCUCAGCUCUGCUGCCCUUUUGACCUUUGCAUGCUGAUUGUAGCAUCUGGGCUUGAUGGGGCAUGUGACCCUCACCUGUUCUGAGCUUACUUCAAGUGAGGAAUCACACACCUUCUGCUAGAGCUAGUGAACUCCACCUGGCCAGCUAGGGAGCUGGGCUGUGGGUCCUCUAGAACGCCUUUCCCGUUGCUCCCUAUGCCUCAGAGCCCACUGUAUUCAUAGAAACAAGGGCCCCUCUGGCUCUGGGAAUGGGUCCUGCUGUUCUGGGUCCUGGGCACUGACCUCCAUCCCCUUGCCAUUCUUUGUCACCAUGUGAGUACUUCCUUCCCCAUCCCCCUGCUUCCCCCAGUGUGUCCCAGUCCUGGCAAACCCCUCGCCGGAUCCUCCCCAUUGUCCUGCCAGUUCAUGACACUAAGAUAUAACCCAUAUUUCAGCCACAAAUAUAUACACACUAGGUGUUGCAUCCUUGCUUGAUCCACUCACCUGUCAUUCACCCCACAUCAAUCCCCUAGAUUGAUUCCCCACAUGCAACUACAAAGCUCACUUUUCACCUUCCAAAACCCAUUUCUGAAGCAACUUCUCACUGCAGUCCCACUUUGCACCCAUUUUCACCUCCCCACCAUGUCCAAAACCAAAAUCAAUUCUCCUGGCAAACUGGGAAUAUCCCCUCAUUCACACAGUUUAGGACAUUCCCCACCUUUCUUCAGCAGAGUUUCUUUUUCUUUGAAAAAAAUAAAGGGCUCACAUAAAUGUAAACAAAGCUUCAAUAAUAAAGAAAACUGUGACAAAAUAGCAUAAUGAGACACACUAAAUACAGCAUGUUAUGUACUGAGUUGAAUAGGAUCCAAAAUACAGCAGUCUGAUUGGUCCUAGAACAAUGCAGCAAUAUGAUUGGUCUGCAAGAGCCACCCAAUCCAGCUCCAGAUGGAAGUGAAUCCACAACCUGAUUGGCCUACAGGAGAAUUCCGGAAUUAGCCAAUCACGUGCAGCCCAUUGUGUAAAUGAUGUAUAUAAAGCAGAUACUUUGGGGGAACUUUCAUUCCUCCCCACCACUAUGAGCUGAAUAAAGAGCAUGAAAUCCA
rnacentral:lncRNA from 1 species